ACAAACUUUUCACUCCCUCUCUCCAACGGUUCUCCUCUCUUUCAAAGAUUCUCCCCUCUCUCUGCACAAAAAUUUUCAUACUUCCCAAAAAUUAAAAGUUGCUUCGAUCUAGACAAUCAAUUUCUCCGACAACUUUCAACUUCCGAUGGCCGUACUAUGAACUUUCAAUUCUUCUAUUCUAACCAUCCAAAGGAACAACCAUUUGUAGAAUGCAAGAAUAAAGAGGCUCAAUUAAUAUUUACUGGUGAAGAUGUGAAGAAGUCUCUUGAUGCUCUUACUACUAUUGAUAAGGAAUUGAUAUCUAAGAGAGGUGUUAUUCCAUCAAGAAAAUUUUUGGAGCCAUUCAUAUCAUUGAAGAUUAAGAGAAGAAAAAAAAAUCAAUUUUCAAGAUAUUAUCAAAUAUGAAAAAGAGACAACAAAUUGCAACUACUCAUCUUUCUUGCAAUGUUGAGUCAUCUUCAUGAGCCAUAGAAGAGCAACAGAAGUUGCAGAAGGUAUGGGUUGCUGAAGUCAUAUUUUGUAAGGUGAAGAACAUGAUAUUUUCUAGUUGUCAAUGACAAUAUUUUAUAUUUAAUUGAUGUCUAGUUAUUUUAUCAUGAUUUUUAUUUUUAAGCUGAAACUAUUUAUAUGAAUUGUAAUUCAUGAACACUUACCAUAUUUAGUUAAUCAUAUUUGUAAUUAUCAAUGAAAAUACUUUAUAUUAUA